rnacentral:rRNA from 1 species
AGCUGUUUUCGGGCAGUGUUAUAGGGCAGGUGGAAUGCAACCAGCCUGGACUGAGGUCCGCGCAUCUGCUAGGAUGCUGGCGUAAUGGUUGUAAGCGGCCCGUCUUGAAACACGGACCAAGGAGUCUAACAUCUAUGCGAGUGUUUGGGUGUCAAGCCCGAGCGCGUAAUGAAAGUGAACGGAGGUGGGAACCUUUUAGGUGCACCAUCGACCGAUCCUGAUGUCUUCGGAUGGAUUUGAGUAAGAGCAUAGCUGUUGGGACCCGAAAGAUGGUGAACUAUGCCUGAAUAGGGUGAAGCCAGAGGAAACUCUGGUGGAGGCUCGCAGCGGUUCUGACGUGCAAAUCGAUCGUCAAAUUUGGGCAUAGGGGCGAAAGACUAAUCGAACUAUCUAGUAGCUGGUUCCUGCCGAAGUUUCCCUCAGGAUAGCAGUAACGUUUUCAGUUUUAUGAGGUAAAGCGAAUGAUUAGAGGCCUGGGGGUUGAAGCAACCUUCACCUAUUCUCAAACUUUAAAUAUGUAAGAAGUCCUUGUUUCUUAAUUGAACGUGGACAUUUGAAUGUAUCGUUACUAGUGGGCCAUUUUUGGUAAGCAGAACUGGCGAUGCGGGAUGAACCGAACGCGGGGUUAAGGUGCCAGAAUGCACGCUCAUCAGACACCACAAAAGGUGUUAGUUCAUCUAG